AACGAACGCUGGCGGCAUGCCUAACACAUGCAAGUCGAACGAAGCCUUCGGGCUUAGUGGCGCACGGGGUGCGUAACGCGUGGGAAUCUGCCCUUGGGUUCGGAAUAACAGUUAGAAAUGACUGCUAAUACCGAAUGAUGUCUUCGGACCAAAGAUUUAUCGCCCAAGGAUGAGCCCGCGUCGGAUUAGCUAGUUGGUGAGGUAAAGGCUCACCAAGGCGACGAUCCGUAGCUGGUCUGAGAGGAUGAUCAGCCACACUGGGACUGAGACACGGCCCAGACUCCUACGGGAGGCAGCAGUGGGGAAUAUUGGACAAUGGGCGAAAGCCUGAUCCAGCAAUGCCGCGUGAGUGAUGAAGGCCUUAGGGUUGUAAGCUCUUUACCCGGAUGAUAAUGACAGUACCGGGAGAAUAAGCCCCGGCUAACUCCGUGCC
rnacentral:rRNA from 1 species